AANGGGAGCUUGCUCCCGGAUGUUAGCGGCGGACGGGUGAGUAACACGUGGGUAACCUGCCUGUAAGACUGGGAUAACUCCGGGAAACCGGAGCUAAUACCGGAUAGUNUCCUUGAACCGCAUGGUUCAAGGAUGAAAGACGGUUUCGGCUGUCACUUACAGAUGGACCCGCGGCGCAUUAGCUAGUUGGUGAGGUAACGGCUCACCAAGGCGACGAUGCGUAGCCGACCUGAGAGGGUGAUCGGCCACACUGGGACUGAGACACGGCCCAGACUCCUACGGGAGGCAGCAGUAGGGAAUCUUCCGCAAUGGACGAAAGUCUGACGGAGCAACGCCGCGUGAGUGAUGAAGGUUUUCGGAUCGUAAAGCUCUGUUGUUAGGGAAGAACAAGUGCAAGAGUAACUGCUUGCACCUUGACGGUACCUAACCAGAAAGCCACGGCUAACUACGUGCCAGCAGCCGCGGUAAUACGUAGGUGGCAAGCGUUGUCCGGAAUUAUUGGGCGUAAAGGGCUCGCAGGCGGUUUCUUAAGUCUGAUGUGAAAAGCCCCCCGGCUCAACCCGGGGAGGGUCAUUGGAAACUGGGAAACUUGAGUGCAGAAGAGGAGAGUGGAAUUCCACGUGUAGCGGUGAAAUGCGUAGAGAUGUGGAGGAACACCAGUGGCGAAGGCGACUCUCUGGUCUGUAACUGACGCUGAGGAGCGAAAGCGNUGGGGAGCGAACAGGAUUAGAUACCCUGGUAGUCCACGCCGUAAACGAUGAGUGCUAAGUGUUAGGGGGUUUCCGCCCCUUAGUGCUGCAGCUAACGCAUUAAGCACUCCGCCUGGGGAGUACGGUCGCAAGACUGAAACUCAAAGGAAUUGACGGGGGCNCCGCACAAGCGGUGGAGCAUGUGGUUUAAUUCGAAGCAACGCGAAGAACCUUACCAGGUCUUGACAUCCUCUGACAACCCUAGAGAUAGGGCUUUCCCUUCGGGGACAGAGUGACAGGUGGUGCAUGGUUGUCGUCAGCUCGUGUCGUGAGAUGUUGGGUUAAGUCCCGCAACGAGCGCAACCCUUGAUCUUAGUUGCCAGCAUUUAGUUGGGCACUCUAAGGUGACUG
rnacentral:rRNA from 1 species